rnacentral:rRNA from 1 species
AUACGUAGGGGGCGAGCGUUGUCCGGAAUGAUUGGGCGUAAAGGGCGCGUAGGCGGCGCGGUAAGUCUGGAGUGAAAGUCCUGCUUUCAAGGUGGGAAUUGCUUUGGAUACUGCCGCGCUUGAGUGCAGGAGAGGUUAUCGGAAUUCCCGGUGUAGCGGUGAAAUGCGUAGAGAUCGGGAGGAACACCAGUGGCGAAGGCGGGUAACUGGACUGCAACUGACGCUGAGGCGCGAAAGUGUGGGGAGCAAACAGGAUUAGAUACCCUGGUAGUCCACGCUGUAAACGAUGAUUACUAGGUGUGGGAGGUAUCGACUCCUUCCGUGCCGUAGUUUACACAAUAUUUAAUCCACCUGGGGAGUACGGCCGCAAGGUUGAAACUCAAAGGAAUUGACGGGG